GCUCCACAAUGUGUAGUAUUACUAUUACUAAUAUUAUCACUGUGUUGUAUUGUGUACAACCCUAUGCAAUAUACAACAAUCACUAUCUGUUUACACUUCACAGGAUAUACCACUCUGCUGCUUAAGAUGACGAUGUUUAUCAGGGUUAACUUGAUGUGGAAGAUGUUUUCUUGGCUGAUGAGUCUGGGAAGGAGCGAUGACCCAAGAAACCUGAGUUUAAGCCUAGCUUUAGGCACUGACAAGAGCAGCUGGUCAGCUGACCUGAGAGAGCGGCUGGGAGUGCAGGGAUGCAGCAGCUCAAUAAGAGACACUGGCUUCAGCACCGGACAGCUCCUCUGAACCCUCGAAAUGAGGCUAACACAAGGAGAGGUCACUUCAGCACUGGACAGCUCCUCUGAACCCUCCACAUGAGGCUAAUACAAGGAGAGGUCACUUCAGCACCGGACAGCUCCUCUGAACCCUUGACAUGAGGCUUACACAGGGAGAGGUCACUUCAGCACCGGACAGCUCCACAGGAACAACUUCAUCUGUCUCAUCUUGAGCCUUUCGUCAUGCUUUAGGACUUUAGGACAUGCUCCCUCUCACAGUACUCCUUCAACCUAUUGACAGAAGAGAGACAAGAUCUGCGUCACCAACCUGGAGUGGACGGGUUUCUAUCAAUAACUUUUUUCUGCACCAGAUGAGACCCAGUUUAUAGAACUUCCAAGACAAAGGAAGUGGAAACAAAACACAAACCUUGUCACCAGAUAAAAAUGUUCAACUUGUGUCGUGCUUGUCAAAUCGACCUUUCAGCACAUGAGUACGGCAUAGUCUAAACCUGAAACUACUCACAUAGAUCUUCAAGUCAUUUUCGGUGUUUUCACACAGACACUUUUUACUUAAACAUUUCAGAGGACCUCAGACUGUAAAGGCAAACACCAACUCAUAUAGUCUAAACCAGAGAUUUCUGUACCUCCCUUAUGGCCAACAUGUACAGAUGGACUCCCUCAUCCUAGUCUUUGUCAAACUCCAGACUAUAAGUGAGUAACACGGUUUUAAUUGUCUGGUGAAAGCGUUCAAAUGCACCCUGCAGAAUCUGGUCUGAUCCUGUAUUCAUUCAUCCAUUCAUUCAUUGGAUUUAUUUCAACAGUACAAGUGAGUAAAACAGUCUACAUCACAAAUGACCUGCAUAUAAUAGGAUCUAAUAAUUCAAUUACUUUCAACAGAAGACAUACAGGUUAAAUAUUCAGAUUCAUUCAUUGAUGCUCAAAAAGUAGUAGGAAGAAGAAGACUUAUUUCAGCCCUCCACACUUUUUCAGGUGAGUAUCAGGUCAUUAACUUGAGACUCUAGUCAUGUGAUCGUCAGGUGGACUACAUCCACAAAUUUUCGGGAUAAAAACCUAAAAUCCCUACCAGUCACUCUGAGGUGGUGGAAACGUCUUCAAAAUAACAAAUUAGUCCAGUUGCCCUUGUUUUCUGAAGAAACCCUCAUCCAGGCUCACCUAAGCUUUGCUAAAACAUAGGCCACAGGAGGGGGUGGGACUGGUUUACCACCAUCCUCAGAUCACCCUCCACCUCCACAGGCCCCAGGGAGCAGAGUCAGCCUUCUUCACCAGUCUGUUCAGUCUCUGUUUGUCUCUGAGAACCUGCUGCUCCAGCAGACCACUCCAUAGUAGAUGGCGGAUGAAGGACCUAAGAGGACUUAGCAGAUAGAGUCUGCUCUGGUCUUUCUUAUAGACUGCCCUCAUGUGGCCAGUCCAGUCCAGUCCAGUUUGUUGUUCAGGGGAACACCCAAAGUUUCAGGUGACUCCUCAGUUUGUUAGAUAAAAUGCAGGAGUGAUGACUGGUAACAAUUUAAAACACAGGCACUGUUGAAUGGAUUCUCAUCGUUGGUCUUUGAGUAUAGAGAGAAAGGUCUCAAAUGAGAUCAGUUCAGUCAUUUUCAGUUCAGAUUGAAUGGGAUUCCAAGCUGAGGGGGCAGAGAAAUGAAAAGCUUUUUUCUCAAUUCAGUCCGAACACGAGGAACAGCUCGGUGCAAAGUGUUUGGUCUUAAGGUGUACACAAUCUAGUGGUGGUGAGUUCACUGACUGAGAUAAAUGAUUCAUAAACCAGUGUCUGUGGUGAGUUCACUUACUCUAAACGCAGUAGAAAAGUCACUGUCUGUAAAAACAGUCAGACUAUUAGUUUUGGGUUAAAUUAGUAUAAAUCAUGAAAAUAAACUUUCUAAACCUUAGAUUUGGGAAACUUUUUAACAUUUGACUUCAGCAAAUGUGAUAUUUCUAUUAGGACUGAAAGAAUCCACUUUAUUCUCAUCGUUCAUUUAAAAGAUUAAUUUAUGAAUCAUUAUUUUCUGUCUUCUUCUUCAUUCCAGUCGUCCUCCCUUAGAGCCAGAUCACUCUGAAGCAUGUGUUGUCAUGGUUUAUGCCUGUCUUUUAUUUUGUGAUCAUGUUUUGAAGUUUGGAGUGUUUUAUUUUGUCAAGUUUCUGGAUUUCCUGUCUGUGGUGUCUCCUUGUGGUUUUUCAUGUCUGUGUGUGUCAUGUUUUGUGUUUCCUGUUUUAUUUCGUUAUGUUUCUUAGUUUCCUGCCUGUCUUGCCUCGUGUUUCUGUCACGAUUAAGUCUUGUAUCGUGUUGUAUUUCCUGUUUUAUUUUGUUAAGUUCUGGGUUCCUGUCUAUGUUCCUUGUGUGUCCCUUGAUUGUUUAUUGGUCCCACUUGGUUUGAUUGCCCUCAUGAGUUUCACCUGUGUCUUCUUCCUGAGCCCUCUUGUGUAUUUAUAGCCCUGCCUUCCCUUUGUUCCUGGUCGUGUCGUUGUGUUACCUACCUGAUGUUAUUUGGUCCCCAAGCCAUGUUCCUUGUUUUCCAUGCCACAUUCAUGAUUCUUUUGAUUUUUGUAUUUUGUAUUUACCUGCCUCAACGCAGUGCUUUUUGUUAGUUAUUAUAAAAAAGAAAAACCUUUCUCUGUA